AACUGUAGUCAUUGCUUGGUCACAAAUGCAAUGAGUCUCCGCUAUAAAUUCCCUCUUCUCUGGUUUACUCAAACAUCAAGCAAAUAGCAAACAACCAAACACACAUUUCAAAUUUUCAAAGACUAAUUAGCAAUAUUUCUCUUAGGAUCAAAUUCCAAUUAUGGCAUCCAUGGGAUUUAGCUAUGCCCAUCUUCAUGUUCAACAAAAAUGCCUUAAAGAGAAGUCGAAGAGAUUGGAGGAGGAAAAUGCUCGAAGUAGUAAUAAUGAGUGUGGCAGCACGGUGAAAAAAUUAACCGCGGAGGGUAAACGUAGUAAGGGUAAGAAAAUUUACCCCGGUGGAUUUGCUUCAGUGGAUUCUAAUGAGAACUUUGGUGAAAAUAAAAAGCAGUAGUAAUUUUAUGUAGCAAGGGCAUUGUGUACUUUCACUCUCUCCUCUUUUUUUUUUUGGGUUGUUGUUGUUGUUAUUGUAGUAGUUGUUGUUGUUAAAUUUGUCUUCUUUUUUUUUUUCUUAAUUUGUGCAUGUAAAAUGUAGUAGUCCGAAUAUUAUUGUUUGAGCCCUAGCAUGGUGGUUAUACUAAUAAAAGAAUAAAGUCCAAAUUGCUGCA